rnacentral:rRNA from 1 species
AUACGGAGGGUGCGAGCGUUGUUCGGAAUUAUUGGGCGUAAAGCGCGUGUAGGCGGUUUGUUAAGUCUGAUGUGAAAGCCCUGGGCUCAACCCAGGAAGUGCAUUGGAUACUGGCAGACUUGAAUACGGGAGAGGGCAGUGGAAUUCCUGGUGUAGGAGUGAAAUCCGUAGAUAUCAGGAGGAACACCGGUGGCGAAGGCGGCUGCCUGGACCGAUAUUGACGCUGAGACGCGAAAGCGUGGGUAGCAAACAGGA